rnacentral:rRNA from 1 species
CCCUGGUAGUCCAUGCCGUAAACGUUGGGCACUAGGUGUGGGGGACAUUCCACGUUUUCCGCGCCGUAGCUAACGCAUUAAGUGCCCCGCCUGGGGAGUACGGCCGCAAGGCUAAAACUCAAAGGAAUUGACGGGGGCCCGCACAAGCGGCGGAGCAUGCGGAUUAAUUCGAUGCAACGCGAAGAACCUUACCAAGGCUUGACAUGAACCGGACCGCUGCAGAAAUGUGGUUUCCCCUUUGGGGCUGGUUUACAGGUGGUGCAUGGUUGUCGUCAGCUCGUGUCGUGAGAUGUUGGGUUAAGUCCCGCAACGAGCGCAACCCUCGUUCUAUGUUGCCAGCACGUGAUGGU